rnacentral:rRNA from 1 species
GACAGAGGGUGCAAACGUUGUUCGGAUUUACUGGGCGUAAAGCGCGUGUAGGCGGCUUUGCAAGUCGGAUGUGAAAUCCCACGGCUCAACCGUGGAAGUGCAUCCGAAACUGCAUCGCUGGAGUCUCGGAGAGGAAGGUGGAAUGCUUGGUGUAGAGGUGAAAUUCGUAGAUAUCAGGAGGAACACCAGUGGCGAAGGCGGCUUUCUGGACGGUAACUGACGCUGAGACGCGAAAGCGUGGGGAGCAAACAGG